AUUGAACGCUGGCGGCAGGCCUAAAACAUGCAAGUCGAGCGGAGCGGCGGACGGGUGAGUAAUGCCUAGGAAUCUGCCUGGGAGUGGGGGAUAACGUCCGGAAACGGGCGCUAAUACCGCAUACUAUCAGAUGAGCCUAGGUCGGAUUAGCUAGUUGGUGGGGUAAAGGCCUACCAAGGCGAGGAUCCGUAACUGGUCUGAGAGGAUGAUCAGUCACACUGGAACUGCGAAACGGUCCAGACUCCUACGUGAGGCAGCGGGUGGGAAUAUUGGACAAUUGGCGAAAGACUGAUCCAGCCAUGCCGCGUGUGUGAAUAAGGUCUUCGUAUUGUAAAGCACUUUAAGUUGGGAGGCGUUACCAACAGAAUAAGCACCGGCUAACUUCUGGCCAGCAGCCGCGGUAAUAC
rnacentral:rRNA from 1 species